UUCCGGUUGAUCCUGCCGGAGGACAUUGCUAUUGGGAUUCGAUUUAGCCAUGCUAGUCGUGCGAAUUAGAUUCGCGGCAGAUAGCUCAGUAACACGUGGCCAAGCUACCCUUCAGACCAGAAUAACCUCGGGAAACUGAGGCUAAGACUGGAUACGGGACGCCUGCUGGAAUGCGGCGUCCUCCAAACGUUUCGGCGCUGAAGGAUGCGGCUGCGGCCGAUUAGGUAGACGGUGGGGUAACGGCCCACCGUGCCAAUAAUCGGUACGGGUGAUGAGAGUCAGAGCCCGGAGACGGAAUCUGAGACAAGAUUCCGGGCCCUACGGGGCGCAGCAGGCGCGAAACCUUUACACUGCACGCAAGUGCGAUAGGGGAAUCCCAAGUGCGAGGGCAUAUUAGCCCUCGCUUUUGUUGACUGUAAGGAGGUCAACGAAUAAGAGCUGGGCAAGACCGGUGCCAGCCGCCGCGGUAAUACCGGCAGCUCGAGUGAUGUCCCAUAUUAUUGGGCCUAAAGCGUCCGUAGCUGGCCAGCCAAGUUCGUCGGGAAAUCCACCUGCCCAACAGGUGGGCGUCCGGCGAAAACUGUCUGGCUUGGAACCGGAAGGCUCAGAGGGUACGUCCGGGGUAGGAGUGAAAUCCCGUAAUCCCGGACGGACCACCGAUGGCGAAAGCACUCUGAGAGGACGGAUUCGACAGUGAGGGACGAAAGCUAGGGUCUCGAACCGGAUUAGAUACCCGGGUAGUCCUAGCUGUAAACGAUGCUCGUUAGGUGUGGCACCCACUACGAGUGGGUGCUGUGCCGUAGGGAAGCCGCUAAACGAGCCGCCUGGGAAGUACGUCCGCAAGGAUGAAACUUAAAGGAAUUGGCGGGGGAGCACUACAACCGGAGGAGCCUGCGGUUUAAUUGGAUUCAACGCCGG
rnacentral:rRNA from 1 species